AUUGAACGCUGGCGGCAUGCCUUACACAUGCAAGUCGAACGGUAACAGGUUAAGCUGACGAGUGGCGAACGGGUGAGUAAUAUAUCGGAACGUGCCCAGUCGUGGGGGAUAAGGUAGCGAAAGCUACGCUAAUACCGCAUACGAUCUACGAAUGAAAGCGGGGGAUCGCAAGACCUCGCGCGAUUGAGGCGGCCGAUAUCAGAUUAGGUUGUUGGUGAGGUAAAGGCUCACCAAGCCUGCGAUCUGUAGCUGGUCUGAGAGGACGACCAGCCACACUGGAACUGAGACACGGUCCAGACUCCUACGGGAGGCAGCAGUGGGGAAUUUUGGACAAUGGACGCAAGUCCGAUCCAGCAAUGCCGCGUGCAGGACGAAGGCCUUCGGGUUAUAAACUGCUUUUGUACGGAACGAAACGGCGAGCUCUAAUACAGUUUGCUAAUGACGGUACCGUAAGAAUAAGCACCGGCUAACUACGUGCCAGCAGCCGCCGUAA
rnacentral:rRNA from 1 species